rnacentral:rRNA from 1 species
ACAGCUGUCUAUAACACCCUGAACAUGUCCAAUCUCAUCUGAUCUUGGAAGCUAAGCAGGGUUGGGUCUGGUUAGUACUUGGAUGGGAGAAAAGUCACAAUUGAUUGAUGAUGUCUGCA